GGCGGCGUGCUUAACACAUGCAAGUCGAACGCGAAAGUUUUCUUCGGAAAGCGAGUAGAGUGGCGCACGGGUGAGUAACGCGUAAGUAAUCUACCCUGGUAUCUGGGAUAACCAACCGAAAGGUUGGCUAAUACCGGAUACGCUGGUAACAGGAAAGGUGGCCUCUUCAUGAAAGCUACUGUACCAGGAGGAGCUUGCGUACCAUUAGCUAGUUGGUAGGGUAAUGGCCUACCAAGGCGACGAUGGUUAGCGGGUCUGAGAGGAUGAUCCGCCACACUGGAACUGGAACACGGACCAGACUCCUAUGGGAGGCAGCAGUGAGGAAUAUUGCGCAAUGGGGGAAACCCUGACGCAGCGACGCCGCGUGGAUGAUGAAGGCCUUCGGGUCGUAAAAUCCUGUCAGAUGGAAAGAAGUGUAUAGAUGUUAAUAGCACUUAUAUUUGACGGUACCAUCAAAGGAAGCACCGGCUAACUCCGUGCCAGCAGCCGCGGUAAUACGGAGGGUGCAAGCGUUGUUCGGAAUUACUGGGCGUAAAGCGCGCGUAGGCGGUUUUAUAAGUCAGAUGUGAAAGUCCACGGCUCAACCGUGGAAGUGCAUUUGAAACUGUGAUACUUGAGUACUGGAGGGGGUGGUGGAAUUCCCGGUGUAGAGGUGAAAUUCGUAGAUAUCGGGAGGAAUACCGGUGGCGAAGGCGACCACCUGGCCAGAUACUGACGCUGAGGUGCGAAAGCGUGGGGAGCAAACAGGAUUAGAUACCCUGGUAGUCCACGCCGUAAACGAUGUCAACUAGGUG
rnacentral:rRNA from 1 species